rnacentral:rRNA from 1 species
CCCGAAGCCGGUGGAGUAUCCUUUUAGGAGCUAGCCGUCGAAGGUGGGACAAAUGAUUGGGGUGAAGUCGUAACAAGGUAGCCGUAUCGGAAGGUGCGGCUGGAUCACCUCCUUUCUAAGGA